UACGUAGGGUGCAAGCGUUAAUCGAAAUUACUGAACAUAAAACAUACACAGGCAAUUUUGUAAGUCUAUCAUGAAAUCCCCGGGCUCAACCUGGGAAUUGCGAUGGAGACUGCAAGGCUAGAAUCUGGCAGAGGGGGGUAGAAUUCCACAUAUAGCAGUGAAAUGCGUAGAGAUGUGGAGGAACACCGAUGGCGAAGGCAGCCCCCUGGGUCAAGAUUGACGCUCAUGCACGAAAGCGUGGGGAGCAAACAGGAUUAGAUACCCCCUGAUCA
rnacentral:rRNA from 1 species